CAGCAGUAGCCACGGUAAUACGUAGGUGGCAAGCGUUGUCCGGAAUUAUUGGGCGUAAAGGGCUCGCAGGCGGUUUCUUAAGUCUGAUGUGAAAGCCCCCGGCUCAACCGGGGAGGGUCAUUGGAAACUGGGAAACUUGAGUGCAGAAGAGGAGAGUGGAAUUCCACGUGUAGCGGUGAGAUGCGUAGAGAUGUGGAGGAACACCAGUGGCGAAGGCGACUCUCUGGUCUGUAACUGACGCUGAGGAGCGAAAGCGUGGGGAGCGAACAGGAUUAGAUACCCCGGUAGUCCCUGUCUCUUAUAC
rnacentral:rRNA from 1 species